GACAUUGCAUCUCACUUAAGGGGUGUCUGGCUUGAUCUGUGCAUGACUAUUCUUAAGGAGAAUGAAGAGUGCUGCCCCAUUCACAGGACAGGACAACUCAUUCUAGGAGGUGGCUUCAAUUUAUUACAUCUGACUCAUGGCAUCUCUGAUCUAAGUUCAGAGUUUUUUGCCCCUUCAAGUGAAAAAGAAAGAAAUCAAUGGGAAUAACUGCGAUUUCUGCCCCUUUCCUAUGAGAAAGCAAGGAUUUCAACCUAAGGACCAGGCUUCAAUAUGGAAGAUAAAGUAGAGAUGAACGUGUCAUUAUCCCUCUGCUGGAGAUGCAAAAAGAAGAUGUAACCAGAAAUGUUCAAAAUGUGGCCACAGUGUGGUAGCCAAGCAGUCUUGGAACUAUGUCGGAAUGCUGGAUCGUAUCUUUCCUUUCUCUUCCCUGAAGCAUUGACUUCAUCUUAUUUCCUGACUGAGAUUUUCAUCGACUUCUUGUGUUAUCAUUCCCCUUACAACACAACGUCAAUGCUAAAACAAUCAGAAUUGGAUUUCUCAUGCAAGAGAAAGCUCCCACAAUCUUAGGAAGUGCAGAGCUGCAUGGAGAUUGAGUCUGAAAGCCUUUGAAUCUGAAUUUCCCACGAGGCUGUUGGGUUUUAUUUACAUUUCCUAUUUCUUGGCAGAGUCGUCAGAUGUUGUGAAAGUUUUCUGACUUUCUCUUCAGAACCUGAGCAGGAGUGCAAGACACAAACUGAAAGGUACUGCACGUUGUCAGCUGCAGUAGAAUUUUGAAGAUGUACUUUCAUUGCAUUUUGUCCAUUUAAUGUCAACAUCCAGAAGCAUUUUUUGUCGGUACAUCUUUUUCUUCCCCGUAUAGAAGAGAACAGGAGUGGGGAGAGAACCCAAAACCCAGCAAUUUAACUUUGCACCCUUACAGCAAUC